ACCCGCUGAACUUAAGCAUAUCAAUAAGCGGAGGAAAAGAAACCAACAGGGAUUGCCCUAGUAACGGCGAGUGAAGCGGCAACAGCUCAAAUUUGAAAUCUGGCUCUUUUAGAGUCCGAGUUGUAAUUUGCAGAGGGCGCUUUGGCUUUGGCAGCGGUCCAGGUUCCUUGGAACAGGACGUCACAGAGGGUGAGAAUCCCGUACGUGGUCGCUGGCUAUUGCCGUGUAAAGCCCCUUCGACGAGUCGAGUUGUUUGGGAAUGCAGCUCUAAAUGGGAGGUACAUUUCUUCUAAAGCUAAAUAUUGGCCAGAGACCGAUAGCGCACAAGUAGAGUGAUCGAAAGAUGAAAAGCACUUUGGAAAGAGAGUCAAACAGCACGUGAAAUUGUUGAAAGGGAAGCGCUUGCAGCCAGACUUGCUUACAGUUGCUCAUCCGGGCUUUUGCCCGGUGCACUCUUCUGUAGGCAGGCCAGCAUCAGUUUGGGCGGUAGGAUAAAGGUCUCUGUCACGUACCUCUCUUCGGGGAGGCCUUAUAGGGGAGACGACAUACUACCAGCCUGGACUGAGGUCCGCGCAUCUGCUAGGAUGCUGGCGUAAUGGCUAU
rnacentral:rRNA from 1 species